UUCCACCACAGGAAUAUGGGAACGACUGUGGGAUCUUCAUGAUUAUGUACGCUUGGUACCUUGCCAUGGAGGCACCAUUUGACUUCACUGUUAAAGACAUGCCAGUCCUUAGAAAAUGGUGGUGCACAGUACUCCUUGAGAACUUCCACCUGGAUGGGUAUGUUUUUUUUUUAAAUUUCAAAUAUGAAUACAAACCUCAACCCCAAUAUGAACUAAAUAUGUAUCAUUCUUACAAUCAUUUCUCCUUAUUUAUUCAGGCACGGCAGAAUGUUCGCACACUUCACAGAGGAGGCCAAACAAAUGGCGGUUGGACUACUUCAACCAGUCUUCAGACUGAAGCGAAAAAGAGAAGUGAAUGACGUUUCCAGUGACAGAAUACAAAUAAUAUAUUGUAUAGGCUUAAUAUUGACUUGACUGAUUCUUUUGACAGUGAGUUGGAGCUGAUGGCAGCAUGGCAGCAUUAUUUGUUGAAUAAAU